rnacentral:rRNA from 1 species
AGCGCAGGCGGCCAAAUCAGUCUGAAGUGAAAGCCCGGGGCUUAACCCCGGAAUAGCUUUGGAUACUGCCUGGCUUGAGUGUGCGAUAGGAAAGCGGAAUUCCAGGUGUAGCGGUGAAAUGCGUAGAUAUCUGGAGGAACACCGGUGGCGAAAGCGGCUUUCUGGCGCAUAACUGACGCUGAGGCUCGAAAGCGUGGGGAGCGAACG